GACGAACGCUGGCGGCGUGCUUAACACAUGCAAGUCGAACGGAAAGGCACUGAUUUCGUGGGGUGAUCGAGUGGCGAACGGGUGAGUAACACGUGUGUAACCUGCUCUAGACUUUGGGAUAACUUCAGGAAACUGGGGCUAAUAUCGGAUAGCAGCUCAUGCUGGAUGGAAGGGGUUGGAAAGUUUCGGCGGUUGUGGAUGGACGCGCGGCUGAUCAGCUUGUUGGUGGGGUAGUGGCUUACCGAGGCAUUGGAGGGUCGCCCGCCCGUGAGGGUGGACGGCCACAAUGGGACUGAGAGACGGCCCAGACUCCUAUGUUAGGCAGCAGGCGGGAAUAUUAUACAGUGAGAGGGAGUCUGUUGCAGCGGCGCCGCGUUCGGGAUGACGGCCUGCUGGGUGUGAACCGCUGUCGCCUGUGACGAAGCGGUAGUGACGGUAAUGAGUAAAUAAGCACCGGCUAACUACGUG
rnacentral:rRNA from 1 species